CUCGAGCAAAUUGAAUGGGGCAAUUAUUGCUGCUUUGGUAGAACUUUCGUCAUUGGAAUCCUUGGACCUGUCGAACAAUAGCUUAACCGGACCAGUGCCUGAGUUCUUGGGAGAACUCAAAAACUUGAAGUACCUGAACUUGAGAGGCAACAAUCUAUCAGGAGCUGUGCCUAAAGCUCUUUUAGAAAGAUCGAAUGCGAGGUUGCUCACAUUGAGGUUGG